AUUGAACGCUGGCGGCAGGCCUAACACAUGCAAGUCGAGCGGAUGAAGGGAGCUUGCUCCUGGAUUCAGCGGCGGACGGGUGAGUAAUGCCUAGGAAUCUGCCUGGUUGUGGUGGAUAACGUCCGGAAACGGGCGCUAAUACCGCAUACGUCCUGAGGGAGAAAGUGGGGGAGCUUCGGACCUCACGCUAUCAGAUGAGCCUAGGUCGGAUUAGCUAGUUGGUGGGGUAAAGGCCUACCAAGGCGACGAUCCGUAACUGGUCUGAGAGGAUGAGCAGUCACACUGGAACUGAGACACGGUCCAGACUCCUACGGGAGGCAGCAGUGGGGAAUAUUGGACAAUGGGCGAAAGCCUGAUCCAGCCAUGCCGCGUGUGUGAAGAAGGUCUUCGGAUUGUAAAGCACUUUAAGUUGGGAGGAAGGGCAGUAAGUUAAUACCUUGCUGCUUUGACGUUACCAACAGAAUAAGCACCGGCUAACUUCGUG
rnacentral:rRNA from 1 species